rnacentral:rRNA from 1 species
CAUGCCGCGUGUAUGAAGAAGGCCUUCGGGUUGUAAAGUACUUUCAGCGGGAGGAAGGGGGUAAAGUUAAUACCUUUGCUCAUUGACGUUACCCGCAGAAGAAGCACCGGCUAACUCCGUGCCAGCAACUUCGGUGACUGAGCGGGCUGGCAAGGCGCAUA